GCUAAUUUUUUGUAUUAUUAGUAGAGAUGGGGUUUCACCGUGUUAGCCAGGAUGGUCUCGAUCUCCUGACCUCGUAAUCCAUCCUCCUUGGCCUCCCAAAGUGUUGGGAUUACAGGCGUGAGCCACCGCACCCGGCCAGCACCUGAUUUUUAAAAUGGCUUGUUGUAAAAUGCAUCAUACAAAUAGAAGGAUGGAUAAAAUUUGCUCAAUUGAAAUAUUUAAAAGUAAUGGCAAAAGCCGCAAUUACUUUUGCACCAACCUAAUAUUAUAAUAAUAAGGUAAAUAAUCAUCCACCCAGUUUAGGGUAUAAAACAUAACCAGUCCUUUAGAAGCCUCUGCUUAUCCCUCCCCAAUUGUGGUCUCUUCUCCACCCGCAGUGAUAACCACGGUGAUGACUUAUGUUAAUCAUUCUCCUGUUUCCUUUACAGUUUUCCACCAAUAUAUACAUCCCUAAACAACAUGACUUAGUUUUGAAAUAAUGAACAGCAAGCACCAAUCUAGAAUAAGGAAAGGGUGAUGUUACCACUGUUUGAGGAAGGCUCAAGAGGAGAAGAUAAACUGAACAGCCUCUCGGUCAUUGUCUGGCUUCAGCUUCCCUAAGCAUUUAUAAGAGCUUUUUAUGGGAAAAUCAUUGAGUAAGAUGAUGAGUAACACUGGGAAUCAUUGGGCUCAGCACAGGUGAGACAUACGGUAACACUGGAGAAUGGGCCGGGUUUUAGAUGUUUGGCCGGGAUAUAGUCAGAGGGAGAUGGCUAUUGUGUAUAUUCUGCUUAUCACGAAUUUCCCUCCACUUCCCAGAAGAGGUCAAGGCAGAACAUUUCUAGAUGACACCCAUCGUAGAUCAAACAUCAGAGCACUGGAGGAAUGAGCAGGAACUUUAUCAGCAUGUGGUCAAAAUAAAGAGAACUGAUUGUUAAAAAGAGCCUGGCACCGCCUCCACACCUUGCUUCCUCUCUCGCCAUGUGAUCUCCACACACGCUGGCUCCCCUUCACCUUCCACCAUUAGUAGAAGCAGCCUGAGGCCCUCACCUGAUGCAGAUGCCAGUGCCAUGCUUCUUGUAAAGCUGAAGAACCAUGAGCCAAAUCAGCCUCUUUUCUUUAGAAAUUACCCAGCCUCGGGUGUUCCUUUAUAGCAACGCUAAAUGGACUAAGACAAUAAUUAACCUGCCUGAGCUUCAGUUUCUUCAUCCAUAAAAUGAGGAUGGACAUAGAAUCUGUUUCACUAGGAUUGCCAAGAGAAUUUAGUGAAAUAAUAAAGAGGACACAGAUUAUGUGUUCUUUUCUGGUUUAGGAAGAUUAAAUUGCUCAAAGUUACACAUCAAAUCAUGGGACUCAGACUCAUAAUCUGACACAUGGUCAAUACUCAAUAAAUUUCAGCUAUCAUUAUUAUGACAUAGUUCAAAUGGGACUCACACCUCCUCUCAGUUAAAGAGAAGAGUACAUGAGCCAGACCUGGCCAAUGAGAUUCAGCCCUAGGAUUGUUGCUAGAAUGAUUUGAAAGGAAAUUCUCUUGUCCUGUUAGGUUAUUAAGUUGGUAAAGCAUAAUCCCAGAGCUGCUGGUAGCUCUCUUUAACAAUGCUUUUAGAGGGUCUAUCUGAAAGUAAAGCCAAACCAAGAGAUGGAAACAGAUUACUGAUGAUGAGGCUGGAUGCAGCCUUACCUGAAGGCAUUGUGGCCCUGGACUUUCCAGUAUUAUGAAUCAACAUCUUCCUUUUCUUUCUCUUAAGCCAUUUUUAGUUGAGUUUUCAUUACUUGCAACAGAAAGAAUCCCUUGUAAUACAAAAAAAUACUGUUUUGAAACUAUUUAUUUCACUGAAUGUAACAUUAUCAUAUGUUCAUGUUAUUAAAAGUAUUCUUCAACAUUA